AGAGCCUGUGGCUUUUCGACUUUCUCGGCAUGAUCUUGCGACUUUUUGAGUCUACCUUUGAGCGCCUGAAUCAAUUCAACAAAAAGAGGUAAAAUCCCCUAGUUGGGCUGUCUUCCAGCAAGCUCUUAGCUUUCAUCGUGAGUGAGAGAGGAAUUGGGGCUGAUCCAGCUAAGGUGAAAGCCAUUGUGAAUCUAUGCCGUCACCUCGUAACCUCCAAGAGUUGCGUAGUCUGCCGGGGCGGCUCCAGCCUUUGAUCUCAAAAGCUAGAACUCGAUGUCAAUCCUUUUCCCAUCAAGACGCGAACUUUGUUUGGACGCUAAAGCAAGCACAAAGAAAGAGGUUUUUAUUCCUUCUGAUCUUAUUCCCGAACACAAAAUUAUCGAAGA
rnacentral:lncRNA from 1 species